rnacentral:rRNA from 1 species
AUUGAACGCUGGCGGCAGGCCUAACACAUGCAAGUCGAACGAGUGGCGGACGGGUGAGUAAUGUCUGGGAAACUGCCUGAUGGAGGGGGAUAACUACUGGAAACGGUAGCUAAUACCGCAUACCAUCAGAUGUGCCCAGAUGGGGUUAUCUUGUUGGUGGGGUAACGGCUCAACAAGGCGACGAUCCCUAGCUGGUCUGCGAGGAUGACCAGCCAGACUGGGACUGUGACACGGCCCAGACUCCUACGGUAGGCAUCAGUGGGGAAUUGUGGACAAUGGGGGCAACCCUGAUCCAGCCAUGCCGCGUGUAUGAAGAAGGCCUUCGGGUUGUAAAGUACUUUUGUUAGGGAAGCGGUACCUAAAGAAUAAGCACCGGCUAACUCCGUGCCAGCAGCCGCGGUAAUUC